CUCUAUUGACAGGUUGCUAAGGAGAUAAGAUUGUUUUGCUUACCUUCACUAGAAGAGGUUCAUUUCAUGAUACCAGAGUGGAGAGACAAGGAGAUCCACUACAGGACCACCACAAGGCCAAAAACUGAUGUAAUGAAGUAAGGUGCUGGUGCUAUAUGUUUGGAUAUAGGUCUACAGUUUCCCAUCAAAUGUCAGCAAGAAGAUGGUAAGUACCAGUGAAAAUCUGGUUGCUACCCGACUCUGCAGGUAAGGCCACACAUACGUUCAGAUACAAUAAUGUUCUCAUAGAGAAGAGGAUAUUACUACUGAGAGAGAGAGUAUUUACAACUGUUACAACACUCAUAUAGUUCUAUGAAGCUCAUAGCAAUCUUUUACAAAAUGUAUAUGAGGAUAUUAUCUAGGUUUGUGAAGUGUCUAAAUGCCAAAAAAAACAUGGUUAACUGAGAUGAAAGUUGAACGAAUAAUUACAUGAGAAUCUGAUGUAUCCUAAUGAAUAUAUGAUGCAUAUAUAAUGCUUUCUCCAUAUGGUACAUAUGAGGGUUGCUAUGCCAAAUAAAGUGGUUGCUAUGCUGGUUGCAAGCGUAAUCAUGUUGGUUGCUAUGGUGGUUGCUAGGUUGACAUUAUA